AAGGUAGAUGUGACCCCUCCACUCUCUGCAGACUUCCCAAGCUCUGACUCCUGGAUGGAGGUCUUUCUUUGGGAAACUGCUGGGCUUGGUCUUCCUUCCCGGUUUUGAAGCAGCUUUUCUGCACCCCUGCACACUUUCUGCCCCCCUGCACACUAUACCUCCAGGACCUGAAUGAGGGACUUCAAUCUGCAUGGUGGCAGAGCUCAGAGGGUAUUGGCUUCGUUUACUUGUUCAUUUGCUCGGCCAACAAUGAGCUUGGUGCCGUGGACAGCCAGACAGCAAGGCCAGAGGGGACCUGCUUCCCGGAAGCUCACCUUCUGCUGGGGUGUGGACAGGCAAGCAAGCAUAAAGACUAGAGAGGGAUGGCUCAGUGGUUAAAAGCACCGACUGCUCUUCCAGAGGUCCUAAGUUCAAUUCCCAGCAACCACAGGGUGGCUCAAAAACAUCCCUAAUGGGAUCCGAUGCCCUCUUCUGGUGUGUCUGAAGACAGACAGCUACAGUGUACUCAUAUAAAUG
rnacentral:lncRNA from 1 species